rnacentral:rRNA from 1 species
GCCCUUUUCCGGUUGAUCCUGCCGGAGGUACUGCUAUCGGGGUCCGAUUAAGCCAUGCGAGUUGAGAGGGGUAAGCCCUCGGCAUACUGCUCAGUAACACGCGGACAACCUGCCCUUGGGUCUGGGAUAACCCCGGGAAACUGGGACUAAUACCGGAUAGAUCAGAGAUACUGGAAUGUUCUCUGGUCCAAAACUCCGGUGCCCAAGGAUGGGUCUGCGGCCUAUCAGGUAGUAGUGGGUGUAACGUACCUACUAGCCAGCGACGGGUAAGGGUUGUGAGAGCAAGAUCCCUGAGAUGGAUUCUGAGACAUGAAUCCAGGCCCUACGGGGUGCAGCAGGCGCGAAAACUUUACAAUGCGGGAAACCGCGAUAAGGCGACCCCGAGUGCCAGCACCUAGUGCUGGCUCUCCUACUGUCUAAAUAACAGUGGUUAGCAAGGGCCGGGCACGACCGGUGCCAGCCGCCGCGGUAACACCGGCGGCGCGAGUGGUAACCGUCAUUAUUGGGUUUAAAGGGUCCGUAGCCCGCUUAUUAAGUCUUUUGGGAAAUCUGGCGACUCAAUCGUCAGGCGUCCAAGAGAUACUGGUAGGCUUGGGACCGGGAGAGGUGGGAGGUACUCCAGGGGUAGGGGUGAAAUCUCGUAAUCUUUGGGGGACCACCGAUGGCGAAGGCAUCCCACCAGAACGGGUCCGACGGUGAGGGACGAAAGCUGGGGGCACGAACCGGAUUAGAUACCCGGGUAGUCCCAGCUGUAAACGAUGCUCGCUAGGUGUCAGGUGCGGUGCGACCGCAUCUGGUGCCGCAGUGAAAACUUGAAGCGAGUCACCUGGGAAGUACGGUCGCAAGGCUGAAACUUAAAGGAAUUGGCGG